UCCGUAUUUUAAUUUCAAUUCAGUCCAAUGAAAUGUAUUUUCGCGAGUUAACGUCAUGCUUGGUACGGCUGGAUGCAGAUUCAAUAUGAAAUUUACGUUUUUUUGCUGAUGUGAAGAUGAAGAACGCAACGCAAAAGUGCAAUCCAAAUGGAAGGAACGAAUUACGCAAAUACGCACACUACAUAAUUAAUCACUUAAUCAGAUAAGUCAAACUCAUUGCUAUGGAAAUAUUUAACCGCUGGUCGCUGGUCCGCUGCCUGCCUUUUUGGUUUUGGAAUUUCUUUCCAAUUUUGGUAAAACGGGUUGUUAUUUUGCAGGAAGUACCUGAGUCGAGUCCUGUUAUCAGUUUUUAAGACUCUCUUGGCUGAAAAUUCGCAGCAAAGUAAUUUUUUAAUUCUUUGGCAGGGCAGCUGGAUUAGAAAUCUAUAAUUUUUUAUAAGAAUAUUUUUACUUUGUGUCAUUAUUAUUUGCAGUUCAAGAAGUCAACAAGACAAGGAAUCGACGUGCCCUGGUGCCCCCCGACUUUUCGAUCCCGACAAGAGACCUUACUAUGAUGUCUUUUACAUUUCAUUGAGCAUUUUCAAAUCUGUUGCAAAUGACCGGAUUUAAAGUAAAAAAAUUGAUUGCCAAAUAAUUACGAAACAAAACGGGAAGCCAGAUACAUAGGCUGCAGGCCACAAAUUACGACUAGAUUUCUGAUUUUAAGUCUCUUUCAAGACUCAAAAAGAAUCCUCAAUUGCCAACUGCCAACCCAUCCCAAGGCACUAACCGGAUUUUUGAAACCCAAAGAGGCAAUGGCAGCCUUAAGCCUUUAAUUUCACGGAACUAAUCUGGUGCAAUUCGUCAUGGACUUAUUGAAAAUAUUUU